UGGGUCAGGGCGGUUCGCAGGUGCUGUCAGAGCUGGGCGGGGCAGCCGGGUCGUAGAGGCGGGCGCCAGUCGCGGUCGGUGGAGAGGGAUGAGGAUGUAGGAGGGACGGACGUGGCGGAAGCCGCGGGGACUGCGGGGGCGGAGUGCCUCUGGGGAGCCAGGGAGGCCUUUCCAGAGGCUCCUGGGGGAAGAAGAGGCGAAGCGAGAGUCCCCGGGGAAGCCCUACUCCACCCCCAGCCGGAGCCUGGGUUGUGCCUGCACGGACCAGAGCCCACAGUGCGAGUUGCUGUAGGCAACCAGCUAGGGUGGCCAACUUCUCCCGGUUGGCCCGAGAUGUUCUGGUUUUGGGACCACAGCGUCCCAGGCCUCCAGCCCACCACAGUGACCAUAUUGUGCGCCCCCUGCCCAUCUUCUCCCGCAGCUUCCCUAGAUUAGGCUUGGGAGGCAAGGGGAGGCCUCCUGACUUUUCUCACUGCCUUCGUUAAUAUAAAGAUGAAGGCACACUCCACAACUUCCUUCUGGCCAGGCCCAGACAUGUCUGUCCUUGUGAGAUAAAAGCUUCCAUGGGAGCCUUCCUUCCUAAUCAAGAUGCAAAUAGUACGGUAUUCCGAACAGACACUAAAAAUAGCUGUCAUCUCAAAGAAUCCAGUGCUUGUGUCACAGUAUGAGAAAGUAGAUGCUGGGGAACAGCGUUUAAUGAAUGAAGCAUUCCAGCCAGCCAGUGAUCUCUUUGGACCUUGCAUUCUCCAUCAGAUUGGAUCACCUCCCACCCUGAGGCCCCCCAAGACUUUGAACAGUUCUUCAGUCAUCCUUACAGAAAGAUACCCUCUCCAGACAAACGCAGUAUUUAUAUACGGUCCAUUGGUAAAUACUGGUAAUGUGCUAGUUUUGGUUCGGUUUUGCAAUGGUUCUGUUGUCAGGAAUAGUCCGGGCUAUUGGUCUGAUUCAGAUGGGCCAUUUUAGGAUCAUUUUUGAUAUUCAUUGCAAUGGUACAAGUUUUGUAGCCAAACAGACCUAGAACAUUUUUUUUUAAUUCAUAUCAAC
rnacentral:lncRNA from 1 species